GAGAAUAAGAAUGAAAACCAUGUUGAAUUGGAAAGAGAACAACAAUGCCAUUUCAAAAAUUAGCAGCUAAAGAGUUGCAAACCAUAAACCCAAGAAAAAGCAGGCAAGUGAUGGAUGGCCAAAAUGGGCAGGAUUAUCCUGGUAGAUUAUAUAGGCAUGAAAUGCCCAGUCAAAUAAAUUGAUGCAUUUCCACAAAAUCUGUCAGUAUCCUUGACAAAUUCCCUUAAGAAAGCACAAUGAUUCUAUUCAUCAACCACCAAGUAACAGAAUUAUUAUCAUUACACGAACUCCUGGCAAAAUCUGCCCAUAUUUUGGAGAAAUCAGCUAAAUCAAGGCCUAAAAAUACAAAUCGUAGUUUGACCUACUUUAUAAUUAUUUCAGAGUCAAACAUCAGAGUUGGAGAGUGAAUAAAUGGAGCAUUCCAAGGAAGACUACAAUAUCUACAAUAAAAGGAAACCUCCUAUGCAAUGGAAUCAUGGACCAUAGCAGGAAUAUAUUACGAGGACAUUAUCAUUUACCUCAUUACUAAAACUAGACUCAAUUGCAUGUGAUGAAAAUUCCAUACGCCCCAAACCACGGGUGCAAUCCAUGUAAAAUGGAACAUUGCCUAAUGUAAAGGGAACAACCCCCUAUGCCUCGGACCACUAGCAGGACUUUGUUACUUGGACAUUACCCAUAUCUUUUGGUGCUGAUAUCUGCCCCCAGUAUAACAUAUCACAGCAUGUAAGUUGAAUAAAAUAUGUUUUGAUUUCCUUUCCCAUUAUUCAAAAUAAAAAGAUCUUGUAAAGGACAAAAACCUCAAUGCAUAUGAUACU